AGCCGUAGAUAACUGUAAAAAAUUUCUACAACAUUGAGACGUUGAACAGUGAGAUGAAGAAUUCCCAUUUAGAUGAUGGUAAUUGACUGAUGGUGAAGAAUUUGAGCCAAUGCCAAAGAAAUUCUAAUCAAACCUAUGAUAACAGGUUUGCACCAUAUGCCCUAUUUUACUACACAGCUGACACUGUGGUUUCGAGCGGGACCACCCUCGACCAGGACCACGAGUACGACCACGAGACCAUCCGCAACUAGAAUUCCUAUGGCCUUGAUGCGAACCACGACUAGUGUUAAAACUUGCUUUCAUAGAAUCCCAGUUGCCUUGCUGAGAAACCAAAUUAACUUGCAACGGUACCUCAAUCAACAUAGUUAGUUGACGAGCUUCACAAUCCAAUAGCAUCUCAGUAAUUAAGUCAAGAUUCAUGGGAGUAGCAGAAGUAAGAACACG
rnacentral:lncRNA from 1 species